rnacentral:rRNA from 1 species
GACGAACGCUGGCGGCGUGCUUAACACAUGCAAGUCGAACGAAGUGGCGAACGGGUGAGUAACGCGUAAUCAACCUGCCCUUCAGAGGGGGACAACAGUUGGAACCGACUGCUAAUACCGCAUACUGAAGGAGGGGAUUGCGUUUGAUUGGCUAGUUGGGGGGGGAACGGCCCACCAAGGCGAUGAUCAGUAGCCGGUCUGGGAGGAAGAACCGCCACAAUGGGAAUGAGACACGGGCCAGACUCCUGCGGGAGGCAGCAAUGGGGGAUCUUUCGCAAUUGACGAAAGGCUGAAGGCGCAAAGCCGCGUGAGUGAAGACAGGCUUCGGGUUGGAAAGCUCUGUUAAUCGGGAAGCGGUACCGGAAGAGAAAGCCACGGCUAACUACGUGCCAGCAGCCGCGGUAAUUC